UACGUAGGGCGCGAGCGUUGUCCGGAAUUAUUGGGCGUAAAGAGCUCGUAGGCGGCCUGUUGCGUCCGCUGUGAAAUCCCAGGACUUAACCCUGGGCGUGCAGUGGAUACGGGCAGGCUGGAGGCAGGCAGGGGAGAACGGAAUUCCCGGUGUAGCGGUGAAAUGCGCAUAUCGGAAGGAACACCUGUGGCGAAAGCGGCUCACUGGACCACAACUGACGCUGAGGCACGAAAGCUAGGGGAGCAAACAGG
rnacentral:rRNA from 1 species